rnacentral:rRNA from 1 species
UACGUAGGCAGCAAGCGUUGUUCGGAUUUACUGGGCGUAAAGGGCGCGUAGGCGGCGUGUUAAGUCACUUGUGAAAUCUCUAAGCUUAACUUAGAACGGUCAAGUGAUACUGAUGUGCUAGAGUGCAGAAGGGGCAACCGGAAUUCUUGGUGUAGCGGUGAAAUGCGUAGAUAUCAAGAGGAACACCUGAGGUGAAGACGGGUUGCUGGGCUGACACUGACGCUGAGGCGCGAAAGCUAGGGUAGCAAACGGG